UGAUCCGGCGGAACAACAUACCGCGUUCGACAUUGCGAUCGAAGCCUCCAAAUAAACGCAUCCGGAGAAGAAGUAGCACGCGGCUGCUGGCGACUCCAACCUUGAUCGGAUCGGGGAUGGAUCCAGCCGUCCAUUGACCCUUCAAGCCAUGAUCCGACGGCGUUCGAUCGCCGGCUAUCACGGGCACCGAAUCCCCUUCGCCGAUUCCGUUACCCUCAUUCUUGAUGCCGGCGCAAGCCGCGAUCCCGGCUGUCUAAUCCUUCGCCGAUGGUGGAGAAGCCCAUGAUGUGGAGCAGCAGUCUGACUACGGAGGGCUCGUCGUUCUCCGCCGGCGACGCCGACCGGUCACAGAAAAUCCACGUCACUUCUCACCCGUAGCCGGCAAAAACAAAAGUAUGCUGGGGACGGUCAAAAAGUGCUUAAUCGAUGCGGAAGAAAAUGAGACGACAGAGAAGGCUGAUAAUCUGACAAGAAACACAUGGCAGCAUAGGGUUAGGGAACGAUGGAGAUUGUGGAACUUGCUAUUAUGCCUUAUUUUGUUGAUUAUGGUGACCUGGUAGUGGUAGGUUGCAGGGAUGAGCAUUGAUCUGUACAUAUACAUCAAGUUCUUCGUGGUACUUCUUUGCCCUUUUUUCUUUAACAAGCCCAUAAAAUAGGUAGAAAGAAGAACUAUAAUAAAAUUGCCGAUGGAUCUUCAUAUCUGCUUUAACGAGACUGUACAAUCUUCGUAUUUUCUAGUUCUCUUAGAGUUUUAGAUUAUUAUAAUUGUCAUCUUUGGUGUAGUUUCAACUUUCAAGGAUGUUACGUCGAAUUGGAUAACAUUUUGCCUCUAGUUGAAGGAUAAGAUAGGAAAAGUAUCUAUGCGAUUCUAGUCAGUGUUAACCUUUUUUUGCUCAUAACAUUAAACUAAAUUCUACAUAUCUAGAAUAAGAUGUGUCGAAGGAGAUUUGUUACUGAAAAAAUUUCUUCGUUUGUUCAUUUGUUCUUUAAUAUCUUUAAUUGUUCAUUGCUUCACCAGUUUUCUCUUAAGUACGCUCCUGUUUCCAUCUUGUAAUUUCUUUUUACUGAACCAAGAGCCCCAAAUUGAGGUGAACAGAAAAAAAAAGGCAGAAUAAUAUGAGAGUCUCUGUGCAUAAACUUGGAUAUUUGCCUUUCUAUGCUGUUGUAUCUGCAAAUAUGAAUGGCCUAAUAUCAGGAUAUCCAUGUAAACCCCUUUUUAUUCUAUGAUACCAGAUUAAGUUAGGAAAUCUUUUGAAAGAAAGUAAUAUUUUUUUUCUUCUUAGUUCUACUUGGCAAUUCUGUUUAGGUCAUCAUGUCCUUUCUUCUAUUACUCCCAACUUGUUUUCCUUAUAGUUGGCAUUUUUUCAUCAUUGGCACCUUAUAACACAUGCAACUCAUGAUCAAUGGCAUCAUAUUUGAUGUCUGCUAAAUUAAAAAUCAUGGAAAUUGUGGUACUCAUAUAGAGUAUGACGCAUGACAAGGCAUGAGAGUGGGACUUCAUCACAAGUAUUGAAGCCCGUGAUGAGGAUUCAAGAAGUUUCUACUAAAAUAGUCAUGAUGACUUGAUGGUUAUCAUUGUAAACUCAGUGUAUUUCACUGCAUUGCUUGGCUCAGUAAGAAAUUAAAUCCUUUGGCUUCUAUUAUAACAAAUAGUCAGAGUAUGCGGUUACUGGACUAGAAAUAGGUGAUUGUUUAACAAUACCUUUUUAAAAUGAUAACCUUUGUGCUUUAUUGGUUGCUUAAGUUGUAACUUUUGCUUAGAUUAGCUUAUAGAGCAAUCCAAACCAUUGUAAUUGUGGACCAACACCUUAACAUCACACUUUUUAAAUUAUCAAAUGCUCUCUGUUCUUUCCUGUUGUGGUUCUUGUUAUAUCCUUUAAUUUAUGCCAUCUCAGCAAUAAUAUAUUAUCUAAUCCAACAUACAUCACAUAAACAAAUCAUAAUAUGUUCUCUAGCCCAACACUAAAAUUUUUAAUCAGCCCUAAAAUUUAUCUCCAAUUCCCAUUCCUUUAUGCUUACAUGCAAUCUUGAUCCCCAAAAGAAAAGUUUGUUUUUUCUUUUUCCAGUUGCGUACUUAGCACGUUUGGCUUGGCCAACUAUAUUCAAAUGACAUAAUAUCAUACCUUGGCUGAUCUGAAGCUCCACCCUCGUGCAAAACAGGGAGCUGUGUCUAGUUGAUCGUUAUGUUGGGUACAUGAAGGCAGCCAUAUUGUGUAGCAUCUAUGUGUUUCUGCAGAUAAAGUACUAUUGGAAUUUCUAGAAUGUUGAACAGAUACUGAUAGCUAUGUGUUUGAAACAUUUCUGCAGCUAUUGCAGUUUAUUGGUUUACAGUGUGGCAAGUCACAGAUGAAGUGCAUAUAAUCGGACAAAUUCAGAUAGUUUUCAACAAUGAAAGAUCAUAGGAGCCUUCUUUUUGCUCGUCAAUGGCUGCAACAACCCUUGUGAUUAGAUGGCUGAGAGCCUGACAAUGGAGUUUAUGUUGGAAGAAAAUGUGAAAACAGGGCCAAGUUUUGUGGAUACUGCUCUGGGAAGAAUUAUUCAGGGAACCAAAGUUGUGGCAGAAGAUGAUUGUGAGAAGAUUUUUUUCAUGAACUUUUGGUUCUAUCCUGAUCAGAAACUUAGAAAAUGGCUGGUCCUAUUAGCGAAUUCUUUGCCUCGACUGCAAACUUGCAUUUUUGCAGUGGUGGAGAAAUUUUGCAUGUGCAAAGAGAUAUGUUAUAUUAUUCAGAAGACUGCAGGUUAAUGUACUGAACUGGUACAAUCAAUUUCAAGGAUCUGUUUGGAUUGUCACACCUACUCCCUUGAACCAGACACCAUUAGUUGGUUCGCAACCAAUGUGCUCCUGAGCCAUAGAAGAGUAGCCAAAACAAUGUGCAAGCCAAAGUUGGAGUCAUGCUACUUGUCCCAUCAUUUAGGUCACAUUUGUCUUCAACGUUCUAUUGAUGGCCACAGAGCUGACUGGGGACUGUUUGAGACUCGCACAACACAGUGACAUUCUUCUUCUUUUAUUUGACUUGGUUGCUCCUACCUUGAAUGAAGCAGGUGUUGGUCUAAGUGUUAUUUGUGACAAAGAUCCAAUGCCAAAGAGUGGACCUCACAGCUACGCAUUCUUUUGGAGGCCCCCGGGCUACCGAACCCUCAACAAGGAUCCUAUUUGGUCAUUCUGGCAUGCUAAAUACAAGCAGUUCCAUCAUGGUGGACGAGCAGCGUUCCAUGGGUCUUGGAAUGGAAGAGCAGUAUUGGUGUGCCAUCCUUUCCAUAACAAGCUUGAAUACUGCAUCUAGGAUUAGAUUGAGCUCAACCAAUAAGAGAUCCAUCCACUCAAGAAGCCCUUCUUAGUUCAACACAAAAAAUUUGGGAAUGAUUGGCCUGUCUUCUCAACAUGGACACUUGUACAGGAAAUGCCAUAAAGCUCCCUUGUCCCAAGUUAGGCAAAUGUUCAUAUUCCCAAGAAAGGUGACACCACCGAGUCGUGUAAGUUCUCAUCUUUUCUUUUUUUUCUUUGUAGUUCUUGAAUAAACAUGGGAUGACCAUAAAUUGU